AGUUCAAAGUGUGACGUGAUGUUACUUGAAUGUAAAACGAUGUCUCUGUUUUAGUCUGCCAUAGUUCGAUUUGCAGCGGCAAUAGUUGCAGGUUGAGGUAGUAGAACACUUUUGUUGAUGAAUCUAUACAUUGAGAAUAUAAUGAGGAAAUGCAAUCUUUUUUUUUUAAAUGUUGUACAAGAUUUCGCUCUCACAUUGUAAAUCAUUAGAAGCCAGUGAUUCUUAAAAUGUUGAACACCUCGACAAAGGGAUGCGAAUGCGGUCAUUUUAGCUUCACAUACAACAAAUCUUUUUUUAAAUCAAAAUUGUAGUCAGAAAUCUAUAUUUUAGAAUUAAUAAAGCUGGCUAAUGGGAUGAGGGUGGCCGUGAUAGUAUUUUUUUUGUCUGGAGGGCGUCACUAGUAAAAGUUUGAGAAACACUGCUGUGAAAAUUCAAGGUAUGAUGUGGUAAUGUUAUCUGCCAUUCUUUGUUUUCUAGUCGGAUUAGAUUCAACAUGUUAGAACAAACGCUCUGGAGAAUCCUGGGAUAUGGGGUGGAAGCAGUAGGUGUGAAUUACCCUCCCCCC